GCUGAUCCCUGGCUCAGAACGAACGCUGGCGGCAGGCUUAACACAUGCAAGUCGAGCGCCCCGCAAGGGGAGCGGCAGACGGGUGAGUAACGCGUGGGAAUCUACCCUUUUCUACGGAAUAACGCAUGGAAACGUGUGCUAAUACCGUAUGAGCCCUUCGGGGGAAAGAUUUAUCGGGAAAGGAUGAGCCCGCGUUGGAUUAGCUAGUUGGUGGGGUAAAGGCCUACCAAGGCGACGAUCCAUAGCUGGUCUGAGAGGAUGAUCAGCCACAUUGGGACUGAGACACGGCCCAAACUCCUACGGGAGGCAGCAGUGGGGAAUAUUGGACAAUGGGCGCAAGCCUGAUCCAGCCAUGCCGCGUGAGUGAUGAAGGCCCUAGGGUUGUAAAGCUCUUUCACCGGUGAAGAUAAUGACGGUAACCGGAGAAGAAGCCCCCGGC
rnacentral:rRNA from 1 species